rnacentral:lncRNA from 1 species
GGAAGAUGGAAAUUGAUUCUAUAGAUUAUGGUUAUUAGAAUGGAAUUCAAUUCUUAUAGCACGCUCUUGACUCGCUUCCCUAUAGUAGAAGUGCAGUAUAUAAGUAUCUAUCCCAUAUUGCCAACAAUAAUACACAACUAUAUUCCACAUACAAUUAUAUUAGCUUAAUUAAUUUGUGUCUAAAUUAUGAUUAUUAGAGUGGAAUUCAAUUCCAAUGAUCCUUAGAGUGGAAUUCAAUUCCAAUGAUCCAAAUGGGGCCUAAUCCUUUUUGUCAUAUCAACUUCGCAUUGAUUGAGAAUCUAUGUCAAGGAUAUAAGAAAAUGAUCGGUCACGAUUUGAUUGCCACUUGGGGAGUUGGGAUUUGGGAUGAUAAGAGUGGUGGCCAUGCUCCUUUUUUGUCGAAACGAGAGUGGUGGCCAUGCUCCUGAUGAUAGUUCCAUUCCAGGAGGAAAAGUGAGAUGCCUUUUUCAUGUUGACGCACCUCAAAAGACAAAAUGAAAAGAAUAUAUUGUAAACAGAAAAUAUUGUACAGAAAAUAUUGUAUAUAAAAGAAAGGAAAUAUUAGUUGGUCCGCAGAAUAAAUAGGAUUCAAUGCAGUAACUACCAGCUAAUGUCCUCACCCCGGCCCACUAGUUCAGUGACACAACAACUAAAGUGUAAUCUAGAAGGUAUAAGGUUAUUCAAAGAAAAGAACUGAUUUGAAAUAAAACCACAUUUUUUUCUGGCAUUUUAGUUUGGUAGGUAUUUACCAAUUAUUGUUGAAGAAAAUUAU